UGGGGGAUAUUGCACAAUGGGGGGGAACCCUGAUGCAGCGACGCCGCGUGGGUGAAGAAGCGCCUCGGCGCGUAAAGCCCUGUCAGCAGGGAAGAAAAUGACGGUACCUGAAGAGAAGCCCC
rnacentral:rRNA from 1 species